rnacentral:other from 1 species
UCAAACCUGAAAUGUGCGAUCCCCUAUUUUUUUCUGAACCUACAUUUGGCAUAAGGGAUUCCUACAUCGCCUUUCUUGAUGUCAGGCCUCAAGCAACUACCGGAGGAAGGCAGAGAGACGGCUGCGGUUACCCACCUGGCGUUGGCUGGGUGUCAGUCCAAUAGGAACGGCAUUUUGGGUUUCAU